rnacentral:rRNA from 1 species
UACAGAGGUCCCAAGCGUUGUUCGGAUUCACUGGGCGUAAAGGGUGCGUAGGCGGUCGGGUAAGUCUGAUGUGAAAUCUCACAGCUUAACUGUGAAACUGCAUUGGAUACUAUUCGGCUUGAGAGUUGGAGGGGGGACUGGAAUUCUUGGUGUAGCAGUGAAAUGCGUAGAUAUCUGGAGGAACACCGGUGGCGAAGGCGGCAUCCUGGACCGGCAUUGACGCUGAUGAGCGAAAGCUAGGGGAGCAAACGGG